CUCUUCGGAGGGAGCGGCGGACGGGUUAGUAACGCGUGGGAACGUACCCAGAUCUAAGGAAUAGCCACUGGAAACGGUGAGUAAUACCUUAUACGCCCUUCGGGGGAAAGAUUUAUCGGAUUUGGAUCGGCCCGCGUUAGAUUAGAUAGUUGGUGGGGUAACGGCCUACCAAGUCUACGAUCUAUAGCUGGUUUUAGAGGAUGAUCAGCAACACUGGGACUGAGACACGGCCCAGACUCCUACGGGAGGCAGCAGUGGGGAAUCUUGGACAAUGGGCGCAAGCCUGAUCCAGCCAUGCCGCGUGAGUGAUGAAGGCCUUAGGGUCGUAAAGCUCUUUCGCCUGUGAAGAUAAUGACGGUAGCAGGUAAAGAAACCCCGGCUAACUCCGUGCCAGCAGCCGCGGUAAUACGGAGGGGGUUAGCGUUGUUCGGAAUUACUGGGCGUAAAGCGCACGUAGGCGGACUGGAAAGUUGGGGGUGAAAUCCCAGGGCUCAACCCUGGAACUGCCUCCAAAACUAUCAGUCUAGAGUUCGAGAGAGGUGAGUGGAAUUCCGAGUGUAGAGGUGAAAUUCGUAGAUAUUCGGAGGAACACCAGUGGCGAAGGCGGCUCACUGGCUCGAUACUGACGCUGAGGUGCGAAAGUGUGGGGAGCAAACAGGAUUAGAUACCCUGGUAGUCCACACCGUAAACGAUGAAUGCCAGUCGUCGGGUAGCAUGCUAUUCGGUGACACACCUAACGGAUUAAGCAUUCCGCCUGGGGAGUACGGUCGCAAGAUUAAAACUCAAAGGAAUUGACGGGGGCCCGCMCAAGCGGKGGA
rnacentral:rRNA from 1 species